rnacentral:rRNA from 1 species
CCUACGGGCGGCAGCAGUGAGGAAUAUUGGUCAAUGGGCGCAAGCCUGAACCAGCCAAGUCGCGUGAGGGAUGACGGUCCUAUGGAUUGUAAACCUCUUUUGUCGGGGAGCAAGGCCCGCCACGUGUGGCGGGAAGGAGAGUACCCGAAGAAAAAGCAUCGGCUAACUCCGUGCCAGCAGCCGCGGUAAUACGGAGGAUGCGAGCGUUAUCCGGAUUUAUUGGGUUUAAAGGGUGCGUAGGCGGAAGGUUAAGUCAGCGGUAAAAUGUCGGUGCUCCACACCGGCCUGCCGUUGAAACUGGUCUUCUUGAGUGAGCGAGAAGUAUGCAGAAUGCGUGGUGUAGCGGUGAAAUGCAUAGAUAUCACGCAGAACUCCGAUUGCGAAGGCGGCUGACUGGACUGUAACUGACGUUGAGGCUCGAAGGCGUGGGGAGCAAACAGGAUUAGAUACCCCUGUAGUC